ACCCAAAAAUAACAAUGAAGAGGUGAGGUGCAGUGUGUAACACGUGUGCCUUGUCUUGUUUGCUGAAUUUCUCAGUAAACUGUAAAUUUACAGACACAAAUGGAAGAAACAAUGCAAGGGGUUUAGUUAAGUAAUUACUAAGUGAGUUGAAAAGAAGAAGAAGAAGAAGCUCAAUGGGUUUUGGUGGUUCCUCCUUUUCCUUCUCAUCUUCAUCUUCUUCAAGCUUUUCUUUGAAACACACAGUUCUACCGUUAAAGAGAAGAAAUUGCUGCUUACAAACCUGCUUUUCUGUACCUUAUCACAAAUUUGUUGAUUUUGCUUUAGAUGAAACCAAUCUCCAUACUCACUUGCUCCCUUCUCCUUUACAGGAAAAGUAUAAUUCAAUGAAUUCUACGGAUGGUAAAGGAGCGCUUAACAUGCUAUCAUUUGAAGCUGCCAAGAUUAGGCUUCUGCGUAGUUUGAUCAUCGAGACAGAAAAAAUGCAGGUUUUGGACUUUGCUGUCUUUCCAAAAGCUGAGUAUGAUGUCCCCAUAUUUUGUGCCAACUUUUUCACGUCCGCUAAAACAAAUAUCAUUGUCUUGGACCUUAACCCCUUGCAUGAUAUCAUCAAUCACGACGAUUACAAGGAAAAGUACUUCAAAAGCUUAAUUCCUCUUGGCUUGAAAUAUGCUGAGCAUUUUCCAUGGGGAGGGAAGCUCACAAGUGAAUCUAUUAAAUUUUUUUCACCGAUUGUCAUUUGGACAAGGUUUACUUCAAGCCCGCAAAAGUAUGAUAUUCUGUACUCGGCUUUUAGAGAUUAUUACAAGGUAUGGUUGGAAUUGAUAGACACGGCAGUAGAAGAGACAGAUGAAUAUCAAAUUUCCCGCAAUCUUGAAGCACAACAUAGAUAUCUGGCAUGGAGAACCGAAAAGGAUCCGGGACACGGUGUUUUGAAGAAGCUGAUCGGGGAUACACUUGCAAAGGAUUUAUUAAGAAGCUUUCUCUUUAAUGGAGUCGAUGAACUAGGAAGCAAAACAUUUAACGACUAUUUUUCGCACUACCUUGACGAGGAAGGAACCUUAAAUAAGAAAGGCGGUGUUGUUGGAAAGUCUUUUGAAAAUCGUCCGUGGGAUGCCACAGGAAAUUUCCUUGGUAAGUACUAACCAAAACAGAAUAACUACCAAGUCCAAUCAGCAAGUGACACCUGUCAUUCCGGUCAAUGAAUAUUGGAGCUUUGCACUCGAACUGGUUAAAUUUCGUUGACUUGUUCUGCAAGCAAAUGUUGGGUUUUUGCAGCAAAUUGUAUCCAAAAUGAAUGAUUGGUUGAAUCAAUUGAUGAAUUGAUCAUAGCAAUUACCAACAUGGUUGAAUCCAAUAAUUUUUUUUACCUACAAUGGGAUUAUGGAUUUGGAAUGUUAAUUUGUCAAGGUUCUAUUGAUCAUUUUGUAAUUGAAUAUUUAUCGAUAUCGCAUUUGCUUGAUUAA